ensembl:lncRNA DISC1FP1 DISC1 fusion partner 1
CGGUCUCUUUCCUGUCCUGCCAUGGUAAAGAAGUGCUUAUUUCCCCUUCGCUUUCCACCACGAAUAUUUUUCCUGAGGCCUCCCAGUCAUGCUUCCUGUUUUGCCUGCAGAACUUUCUAGAAGACAGAAGUCUGAAAUCAAAAUGUUGGCAGGAUCAUCCUCUCUCUGAAGGCUGGAGGCAUUUAUGAAGUAGGGACCUGGAAUUGAAGAGACUCCUAAAGGAGAGACAGAAGUUUGAAAGAGCAAGAAGAGUGGAUGUGGAUCCAGACAGAAAAAGAGAACAGCAAAUAUUUGAAAGAGCUUAAGACGUACUCCUCAAGGUACCACAGAUAGAAGCCUUGAGAAGCUUACUUUGGUCAGAAAUUUUGCCUUUGUCUGCAGGCUUCUACCAGUUCGAUUCCAUCUGUGGGUCUUAGGUUUCAGUUACCUGAAGUCAAAUGUGGUCCAAUACACAGACUGGAAUAAGAGACAUUGGAGACUCCAAAAGGCGCUGACAGAGAAAGCAAGACUUCUGGGGCAGAGGCAAAAGAAGUUAUUACUCAUGGCACAACGGACAAUAUGACCUUCAUGUUGGUUCCAGUUUCAAUUGCCUUUUAAGUCAUACAGAGUGACACAGAAUGACUUUGGAGGAUGCUGUGCACACAAAUAUUUUCUGGUAGACUGAUAUAUUUCUCCUAAAAAAUUUGGAAAAAUUUUGUGAUGAAGAAGCUACCUGGGCCUGAAGAUAUCUUUUCUGGACAAAGUAAAUGAAUGAUUGAAGACCUGCAAACUGUGUUUGUAACGACUUUCUAAGAUUGAUAGCCUCCGUGUUUCAAUGCUCAUGGAGCAGAUGGAUAUGACUGACACUGCCCUUAAUACUACAGCAUGAUCCAAAGCAUCACCAAAGUCUUCAAAGAGAAAGUAAAAAAAAAAAAA